rnacentral:rRNA from 1 species
AGAGUUUGAUCCUGGCUCAGAUUGAACGCUGGCGGCAGGCCUAACACAUGCAAGUCGAGCGGUAACAGGAGAAAGCUUGCUUUCUUGCUGACGAGCGGCGGACGGGUGAGUAAUGUAUGGGGAUCUGCCCGAUAGAGGGGGAUAACUACUGGAAACGGUGGCUAAUACCGCAUAAUGUCUACGGACCAAAGCAGGGGCUCUUCGGACCUUGCACUAUCGGAUGAACCCAUAUGGGAUUAGCUAGUAGGUGGGGUAAAGGCUCACCUAGGCGACGAUCUCUAGCUGGUCUGAGAGGAUGAUCAGCCACACUGGGACUGAGACACGGUCCAGAUUCCUACGGGAGGCAGCAGUGGGGAAUAUUGCACAAUGGGCGCAAGCCUGAUGCAGCCAUGCCGCGUGUAUGAAGAAGGCCUUCGGGUUGUAAAGUACUUUCAGCGGGGAGGAAGGGAGUAAAGUUAAUACCUUUGCUCAUUGACGUUACCCGCAGAAGAAGCACCGG